UAGAACAGAAACACCGUAAGAUGAAUGAACUGGAAACUGAGCAGAGGCUGAGCAAAGAGCGUAUUAGAGAAUUGCAGCAGCAGAUUGAGGACCUCCAGAAGUCUUUACAGGAACAAGGUUCCAAGUCUGAAGGCGAAAGUAAAUCGUCUCAUGCAUGGCGGCAUCUCAUAUGUGCAUAUAUACG
rnacentral:sRNA from 1 species